CAGUGCAUUGGUAGCUGUUAAGCCAAGGGCGGUAGCGUA
rfam:Raoultella planticola strain GCSL-DIFS-295 CFSAN029441_contig2501, whole genome shotgun sequence.